GACGAACGCUGGCGGCGUGCCUAAUACAUGCAAGUAGAACGCUGAAGAGAGGAGCUUGCUCUUCUUGGAUGAGUUGCGAACGGGUGAGUAACGCGUAGGUAACCUGCCUUGUAGCGGGGGAUAACUAUUGGAAACGAUAGCUAAUACCGCAUAACAAUGGAUGACACAUGUCAUUUAUUUGAAAGGGGCAAUUGCUCCACUACAAGAUGGACCUGCGUUGUAUUAGCUAGUAGGUGAGGUAAUGGCUUACCUAGGCGACGAUACAUAGCCGACCUGAGAGGGUGAUCGGCCACACUGGGACUGAGACACGGCCCAGACUCCUACAGGAGGCAGCAGUAGGGAAUCUUCGGCAAUGGGGGCAACCCUGACCGAGCAACGCCGCGUGAGUGAAGAAGGUUUUCGGAUCGUAAAGCUCUGUUGUAAGUCAAGAACGGGUGUGAGAGUGGAAAGUUCACACUGUGACGGUAGCUUACCAGAAAGGGACGGCAAACUACGU
rnacentral:rRNA from 1 species